AUGCUCGCUUUGGUAGCACAUACACUAAAAUUGGAACGAUACAGAGAAGAUUGGCAUGGCCCCUGCGCAAGGGUGACAUGCGCUGUUAUCAUGAAGUGUUCCAUAUUUGU
ensembl:snRNA U6 U6 spliceosomal RNA